UACGUAGGGUGCGAGCGUUAAUCGGAAUUACUGGGCGUAAAGCGUGCGCAGGCGGUUUUGUAAGACAGGUGUGAAAUCCCCGGGCUCAACCUGGGAACUGCGCUUGUGACUGCAAGACUUGAGUGCGGCAGAGGGGGUGGAAUUCCACGUGUAGCAGUGAAAUGCGUAGAGAUGUGGAGGAACACCGAUGGCGAAGGCAGCCCCCUGGGUCGACACUGACGCUCAUGCACGAAAGCGUGGUAGCAAACAGGAUUAGAUACCCGUGU
rnacentral:rRNA from 1 species